rnacentral:rRNA from 1 species
UAAGGAAUAUUGGUCAAUGGACGCAAGUCUGAACCAGCCAUGCCGCGUGAAGGAUGAAGGUCCUCUGGAUUGUAAACUUCUUUUAUCUGGGACGAAAACGGGAUUUUUAUCUCAAUUGACGGUACCAGAGGAAUAAGCACCGGCUAACUCCGUGCCAGCAGCCGCGGUAAUACGGAGGGUGCGAGCGUUAUCCGGAUUUACUGGGUUUAAAGGGUGAGUAGGUGGGCUUAUAAGUCAGUGGUGAAAUCUCCGAGCUUACCUUGGAAACUGCCGUUGAUACUAUAGGUCUUGAAUUAUCUGGAGGUAAGCGGAAUAUGUCAUGUAGCGGUGAAAUGCUUAGAUAUGACAUAGAACACCAAUUGCGAAGGCAGCUUACUACAUAUAAAUUGACGCUGAGGCACGAAAGCGUGGGGAUCAAACA